AGUGAACGCUAGCGGCGUGCUUAACACAUGCAAGUCGAACGAGAACGGAUUAUAGCUUGCUAUAAUUGUCAGCUAAGUGGCGCACGGGUGAGUAAUGUAUAGAUAACCUGCCCUCUAGAAAGGAAUAACAGUUGGAAACGACUGCUAAUGCCCUAUAUGCCUUUAAUACAUAAGUAUGCAAGGGAAACGCUUUAGUGCUAGAGGAUGGGUCUGUAUGGUAUCAGUUAGUUGGUGAGGUAAUGGCUCACCAAGACAAUGACGCCUAACUGGUUUGAGAGGAUGAUCAGUCACACUGGAACUGAGACACGGUCCAGACUCCUACGGGAGGCAGCAGUGGGGAAUAUUGCACAAUGGACGAAAGUCUGAUGCAGCAACGCCGCGUGGAGGAUGACACAUUUCGGUGCGUAAACUCCUUUUAUAUAGGAAGAUAAUGACGGUACUAUAUGAAUAAGCACCGGCUAACUCCGUGCCAGCAGCCGCAGUAA
rnacentral:rRNA from 1 species